GACGAACGCUGGCGGCGUGCUUAACACAUGCAAGUCGAACGGUGAAGCGCCUUCCUUUUUGGUGGGUGUGGAUGAGUGGCGAACGGGUGAGUAACACGUGAGUAACCUGCCCCCUUCUUCUGGAUAACCGCAUGAAAGUGUGGCUAAUACGGGAUAUUCUGGGUCUGUCGCAUGAUGGGUCUGGGAAAGAUAUUGUUUCGGUGGGGGAUGGGCUCGCGGCCUAUCAGCUUGUUGGUGGGGUGAUGGCCUACCAAGGCGGUGACGGGUAGCCGGCCUGAGAGGGUGGACGGUCACACUGGGACUGAGACACGGGCCAGACUCCUACGGGAGGCAGCAGUGGGGAAUAUUGCACAAUGGGCGGAAGCCUGAUGCAGCGACGCCGCGUGAGGGAUGGAGGCCUUCGGGUUGUGAACCUCGUUCGCCAGUGAAGCAGGCCUGCCUCGUUUGUGGGUGGGUUGACGGUAGCUGGAUAAGAAGCGCCGGCUAACUACGUG
rnacentral:rRNA from 1 species